rnacentral:rRNA from 1 species
GAUGAACGCUGGCGGCGUGCCUAAUACAUGCAAGUCGAGCGAACAGACGAGGAGCUUGCUCCUCUGACGUUAGCGGCGGACGGGUGAGUAACACGUGGAUAACCUACCUAUAAGACUGGGAUAACUUCGGGAAACCGGAGCUAAUACCGGAUAAUAUAUUGAACCGCAUGGUUCAAUAGUGAAAGACGGUUUUGCUGUCACUUAUAGAUGGAUCCGCGCCGCAUUAGCUAGUUGGUAAGGUAACGGCUUACCAAGGCGACGAUGCGUAGCCGACCUGAGAGGGUGAUCGGCCACACUGGAACUGAGAAACGGUCCAGACUCCUACGGGAGGCAGCAGUAGGGAAUCUUCCGCAAUGGGCGAAAGCCUGACGGAGCAACGCCGCGUGAGUGAUGAAGGUCUUCGGAUCGUAAAACUCUGUUAUUAGGGAAGAACAAAUGUGUAAGUAACUAUGCACGUCUUGACGGUACCUAAUCAGAAAGCAACGGCUAACUACGU